AUUGAACGCUGGCGGCAGGCUUAAGACAUGCAAGUCGAACGGUAACGACACUAGCUUGCUAGUGGUCGACGAGUGGCGGACGGGUGAGUAACGCGUAGGAAUCUACCUAGUAGUGGGGGAUAGCCAAGGGAAACUUUGGGUAAUACCGCAUACGAUCUAAGGAUGAAAGGGGGCCUCUCUUUGAAGCUCUCGCUAUUAGAUGAGCCUGCGUAAGAUUAGCUUGUUGGUGGGGUAAUGGCCCACCAAGGCGACGAUCUUUAGCUGGUCUGAGAGGAUGAUCAGUCACACUGGAACUGAGACACGGUCCAGACUCCUACGGGAGGCAGCAGUCGGGAAUAUUGGACAAUGGGGGAAACCCUGAUCAGCCAUGCCGCGUGUGUGAAGAAGGCCCUAGGGUUGUAAAGCACUUUUAGUAGUGAGGAAGGCUCAGUAGUUAAUACCUACUGGGAUG
rnacentral:rRNA from 1 species